AAGUCGUAACAAGGUUUCCGUAGGUGAACCUGCGGAAGGAUCAUUAUUGAAUUAAAAUCUGGCUUGGUUGUUGCUGGUCUUUUGCGAGACAAUGUGCACGCCUCGUCAUUUUUAUAUUACCACCUGUGCACCUUUUGUAGACUUGAACAACAUUUUUUCCGAGGUAACUCGGUCGUGAGGAAUUGCUUAUAAAAUGGCUCUCCUUGAAUGUUAUUCAAGCCUAUGUUUUCAUAUACACCAUAAGCAUGUAAUAGAAUGUAAUUAUUAGACUUUAAUGUCUUAUAAACUUUAUACAACUUUCAGCAACGGAUCUCUUGGCUCUC
rnacentral:misc_RNA from 1 species